UUGCAUGGCGCAGCUAGACUGCAAGUCGAACGGGCUGUUUUUGCAGCCAGUGGCGGACGGGUGAGUAACACGUAGGUGACCUACCCCAAAGUCUGGGACAACCAGGAGAAAUCCUGGCUAAUCCCGGAUGUGGACACAUCCUGUGGGGUGUGUUUAAAGCUCCGGCGCUUUGGGAUGGGCCUGCGGCGCAUCAGGUAGUUGGUGGGGUAAUGGCCCACCAAGCCGACGACGCGUAGCUGGUCUGAGAGGACGGCCAGCCACAGGGGUACUGAGACACGGACCCCACUCCUACGGGAGGCAGCAGUUAGGAAUCUUCCGCAAUGGGCGAAAGCCUGACGGAGCGAUACCGCUUGAAGGAGGAAGCCCUUCGGGGUGUAAACUUCUGAACUGGGGACGAUAAUGACGGUACCCAGGUAAUAGCACCGGCUAACUCCGUGCCAGCAGCCGCGGUAAUACGGAGGGUGCGAGCGUUACCCGGAUUUACUGGGUGUAAAGGGCGUGUAGGCGGUCUUGCAAGUCCGGUGCUAAAGACCGGGGCUCAACCCCGGGGGUGCGCUGGAUACUGUAAGGCUAGACGGUCGGAGGGGGUAGUGGAAUUUCCGGAGUAGCGGUGAAAUGCGCAGAUACCGGAAGGAACGCC
rnacentral:rRNA from 1 species